CAAACCAUUUAUGCAAAGGGUUAGUCUGAAGCCAGUGGAAGGGCAGGAACUAACCAUUUUAGAAAUACCUUUGUUAACAUUUGACUGUUGUAGAAUGAAUUUUGGACAUUGUCUUCUCCUGAACAAACACCCAUUAUUUGUUCUUCACUUCAAAAUAUCCUGCAGUAAAUCUCAGUCUAUGUUGUUCAUAUCAAUAGAGAAGACAAAAUGAAAGAGAGAGGUUAUGAUGUCAGUAUUCACCACUGGGUUUCCUGACGCUCCCUCCCUCUGCCAGAAACAAACUCUCCCAGAUGAUGACCAUACCAGCAAGCCACCAGCACGCUCCCAGUUCACAGCGUACUUCUUGAAAGGAUAUCCAAAGAAAUGCCUAUCUUAAUGUCGGUGACUUUAAGUGAAAAAGACUGUCUCAGGCAUGACUGGGAAAUUACUUCCCAUUCUUGUGUGGCCCAUUUUGUCUGAAAGAUUGACAUUUUUUUCUUAAAAGGGCCAAACUAGGCAUGUAACCACUGGUAGGUAGGGGAUGGAACAAACCGUGCGGGGCAUCUUGCCUGUGUAAGAUGGCUAGCACAGAUAGAGAGACAGAGUAUUCCGGUCUCUGAAGUGGUAACUGACAUACAUAGAGAGACAAAUUUUUCUUUAGCGUCUUCCACUGUCAUCAAUAAGAAAUUUGAGGUCAUCAGAAAAAACAAUGUUAUGCAUCCAGAUUGCCAAAAAAUAUUUCUUUCUAUGGAUAUAAAAAUAAAAGCAAUUAUCUGAGGAAUUUUACAUACAGAAAGAACUGUGCAGAGGUGGACUCUAACCAAAAGUGGCAUGCAGAGGAGAUUAAAACAGUCUAAAUAACUAAAAUCUUGUUUUUAUUAAAAGCAUCUUCUUCUGAAAACCAAAAUAUUUGACCAAAACAGAGUAUCAUCAGGCAUAAGAAAUGAAACCAAUUUUAAAAUGGAAAAUUCCAGUGAAAUAUUUCCAUUAGCUCUGUGCUGUGUGUACAAUUGUGUUCCCAGGUAGAGGGGCUAGUAAUGAAGAUUACAAACAGAAGAACAUGCUGAAUGGGAGGCACUGAGUCAGUCUGUGAGACCCGGUCUCAUUUGUAACUGUUGAUCCAUUUACUUCACACAUGGACACCACCCCUCACCAAUGCCCAGGGUCCUAUCACGCUUCUGAUUAACUUGGACUCUGGUUUCAUACUUCCCCUACGAUAACAGCAUUAUAAUAAAGCCCAGGGAUUACGUUUUUAGCACAAGGCUCACUGUUGAGCUGCCUGGAAGACGGAAUUGUGACAAGUAGUGCAGGAAGCUUCAGUGAAAGAUGAGACACUCUACCUGAGAAUAAAAGCAAGGCCAGAAGUUACAGCUCCAAGGAGGAAAUUCAAUGGGCCACAAAACAUUAUAUUUGAGGGUGUUAAAUUGAUUGCUAAGUAGGUUAAGAGAGAAAUUCCACUCUCCCAUUCAGCACGGCAGAGGUGGAAGAUUGAAGCAGCUGCCUAACAAAGACGGUGCUUUCCUCUGAAGCCUCCGGCACUGCCUGUGAGAAAGACAGGGGGAGGCUCACUGCAGUGUUCAGUGCCAUUUCUGAAGCCCAGAGAAAACCUGUCUGCUUCUUUAGGGUGUGCAAGUUUGGGUCACAUCCACCAGCCCCAUGCAGAUGUCUCAGAUGAUCCACUGAACACCACUGGACCCUGAUGUUCAGGCACCUGGAGUGAGCCCCAGAGCUCCAUUGAUUAAAAUGGGAGAUCAGACACCUAAAUUUAGAUGCAGAUGUCAUUGCCUAGAGCUGAACCUGGACCCUGUAAUGUGUUAUCAGUGGCUGAGUGUUAAAUGCUCUGUAAUUAAAGGAUAUAUGCUGGUAACAUAGUAAGUCCCUGCAAACCAGAGUGCAGGAUCUCAAAUGUCCUCAAAUUUUUAUGAAGAAGAACAGUAAAUAUGUGGUCUGGAAAUGAGGUUCUGGAAAAAGGAAUGACAGUGCAGCUAAAUAUAUCCUUUGAAUCUUAUCCUGUGAAUCUCAAAAGACCUGAGUCAGCAAUCUUUUCUCAGUCAGAAUUCCCACUGCUGUGCAUGGGAUGAUGGGCUGUGGCUGUAAGUACUGUUGUGGGCAGAGUGGGAAGGAGGAGAGGUGAGCUCUUCCCAUAGGCAUGGAGCAAACCCAGUGAGCAUGAUGCUUCAUCUAUGCAAUGCACCGGGCCUUCGUGCUCCCUCUGGUCAAGGGGAAUCUGCUCUCACCUCCCUGUGCUGCAGAGCUGGCUCUUUUCUGCCUCCUCUUUGCCAUUUACUGGAGCACAAGCAAUUGGAUUACAUUAACCUCUGUGCUCAUGCAAGGGAGGAGAAAAGACUCUUGUUUCUCUUCUUCCCUGCUGCACAGGUCCAAUGACAUCCUUGCCCCAGGGUGCUGGCCUGGCUUGAUUAAACCCUGAAUAAGCACAGCCAGAUUUGACUCAAAGCUUUUACUACUUAAAACAAUUUUCUGGAAAGGGUUAAUAAGCAGUUUGAAAACCCUGUAUCAAAGACAUAUGGCUAUACGCCUGGAAUAAUGCAGAAUGUUUUAUUUUCAGGUGGGUUUGCUCCAUUCUGUUUAAAUUCUGUGACCUUCAGGGAAUCAAGUUAGUUCUAGCUUUUAGUUCAUAGAUUUUGUGUUUGGCAUUCAAGGUUAACUUAUUGCUUGAUUAGACACAGGCAAAUGCUAGCAGCUGCAGUACCACAGUGGAAAUUAAAUCCUGUACUGUAUUUGGUCAGAAAUGUCAAGAACCUGGUAGUUAACUACAAAGAACUCAUUUUGUCUUCCAUUAGCAACAUUAGGGUAAGUUAGAUACUGUUUUGUUUUCAUGUUGCAAAACAUAAAAAUGUUAUAAUGUGGGACA